rnacentral:rRNA from 1 species
AUUGAACGCUGGCGGCAGGCCUAACACAUGCAAGUCGAACGGUAACAGGAAGAAGCUUGCUUCUUUGCUGACGAGUGGCGGACGGGUGAGUAAUGUCUGGGAAACUGCCUGAUGGAGGGGGAUAACUACUGGAAACGGUAGCUAAUACCGCAUAACGUCGCAAGACCAAAGAGGGGGGCCUUCGGGCCUCUUGCCAUCGGAUGUGCCCAGAUGGGAUUAGCUAGUAGGUGGGGUAACGGCUCACCUAGGCGACGAUCCCUAGCUGGUCUGAGAGGAUGACCAGCCACACGGGAACUGAGACACGGUCCAGACUCCUACGGGAGGCAGCAGUGGGGAAUAUUGCACAAUGGGCGCAAGCCUGAUGCAGCCAUGCCGCGUGUAUGAAGAAGGCCUUCGGGUUGUAAAGUACUUUCAGCGGGGAGGAAGGGAGUAAAGUUAAUACCUUUGCUCAUUGACGUUACCCGCAGAAGAAGCACCGGCUAACUCCGUG